UACGUAGGGUGCAAGCGUUAAUCGGAAUUACUGGGCGUAAAGCGUGCGCAGGUGGUUUUGUAAGUCUGACGUGAAAUCCCCGGGCUCAACCUGGGAAUUGCGUUGGAGACUGCAAGGCUAGAAUCUGGCAGAGGGGGGUAGAAUUCCACGUGUAGCAGUGAAAUGCGUAGAGAUGUGGAGGAACACCGAUGGCGAAGGCAGCCCCCUGGGUCAAGAUUGACGCUCAUGCACGAAAGCGUGGGGAGCAAACAGG
rnacentral:rRNA from 1 species